UGAGACCUCCACACUGCCGCCAAUUCGUGUAAAAACUACCGAACAGCUUCCCGUUUGGUAGAAAGAACCCCACGAACAAGGGGAUUUACCCGAAUCCUCCCCAGCUCUCAUAACCCAAGCCAUUUGUGUGAUUCCUUCCCUUUUCUGUGACCAACCGCAGGGCCAAAAUACAUGGAACCCUUUUCGGCUGUUAACCCCAGCGCGGUCGGUCUUUUUAGUACCUCCAGGAAUUUCCCGAACCCCUGGUCCGAUUUGGGUGAUUUUUGGAUAUGUGUCUCACCCAGAUCAGGG
rnacentral:lncRNA from 1 species